CCUGACUCGUGAGGCUGCCCCAGAUCCAAUGCAUAAAAGGGAGAAUCCAGUUGGCCCCACUGUAGUAACAUGCCUACCGCUUGGCCAGGGAGAGCAGGGCGCCUUGAUUGACAGUCUACCAUGCGGGUGAGCUAAUUCCCUGGAAUGCACAGGACGGGGAUGAGGUCAUUUCCUGGAAAGGAAAUGGGGUGCUAUUAGCAUGAACGGGGAGCAGCAAAAACAACAAAUGUCCAUUCUACCUCCUUUCUAAGUUCAUAGAUUUGAUUUUAGCCCAAGACUCCUGGAGACUGAUGCUUUCAUUCAAAGGCUUGGCAUCCAUGGAAAGGUGGAAAAGCAUGCCCUGGUUGGGUGGUAAAGAGAGAACACCACUCCAUGCAGCGUCCUGACACUGGAAACUGAUGACUGACCUGGAUGCUCAUUUCCUCCUGUGAAAUUAUUCCUCUCCUAUUUCAGAAAUGAGGAAGGUGGGGCAAAGAUGAGAAAACUGCCCAACAUCAUCAGCUAAGCAGAAACCCGCCAUGCGUCCGAGAUCUCUGUCUUAAGGCUCAACCUCCCGACCCCAAGCAUCCCUCUCGGUCAACUUCCCCUGCUGACAGGAGGGUCCUGGGGGGCUGAGGGCCUCACCACCACUGGAACCAUUUCUGAAAGCACGCAUCCUCCUGGGGAAAAGGAAAUGCAUGGGUGUGGAGCUGCCAGCAGCGAGGGAAGUUCCCAGGCGACUUGUCAUGAUGCAAUUUAUAGACCCAAGUCUCAGAAAGGCUGUGGCGGGCUGAGGAGAGGGUGUGAUUUGCUGACAGUGGAGCCUGGCACCUGGCACCCAUCCACGCCGCUGAGCUCAGCAUGCACGUGUGUCGCCGGGACACGACGGCAUCAGGGCCAUUGAAGUGAAAAGGGCAGAAGGCAAAUGCACUCAUCCAGAGCGGACAUAAAAAAGGAACCCGGAAAGCAACAGAGAGGGGAAGGGGAGCUGGCUCCAGGGUGAGGGGCCUCCCACGACCUCUCCGAGACCUGACUUGCCGCAGCUAAUUGAACCUGCCCUCCGCUCCUGAAACACACAUAGCAUGGAUGCUGGCAAGGUCUUCCUGCCCAAGAGAAGAACGUCCCUUUCGCUGUCAGUCCAGCUCUUCUGGGAAGUGGACAAAUGGACCUCAAGGGACAGAAUCAAAUAACUUGACUCCCACCCUGUCCCCGAGGCUUUCCCCAGAGCCACAGAGACCAGAGGAAGCGGCUGGAAGACUCUGCGAGAGCCCAUUAGGCAGCAAGUCCUGACAGUCCACAUGGCGUCCCGGCCUAGGGCCGCAGCGGUGUUUACAGAGCCCGGGGGCCCUGCCAGAGCUAACAUGCCACACGCUCGGCCCAUCUGGGCAGGCUGGAAAAAGUCAACCAUUUUCCUCUGGAUCCCGAUGGCUGUGGCUCAAAACAUUCCGCACAGCUACAUUUGCUUCCCUCCCCUCACAUCUCUUCAGAAAACCCACACAUCUGUAUACACACUUGAAAAUAAAUAAGCAUAAAUGCAGAAUCCACACUGAAGGUGGGGGGCAGGACAGGCCUCGGGGGCUCCUCUCUGCACGGACCCUGCCUGAAGCUGCUCUCCUGCCCCAGGACAGCCCACCCCGGGCAGGCUCCAACUGCAGCAUUUUCUAGAAGUGUGAGAACUCUUACCAACGUGCUACCUGGCUCUGUGGCUCCCCAGUCAACACAAACACAAUUUUGAGGUCUGCAGUUCAAAUUUGCUUCCCCUACAAGCUUCUGAGCUGGGUUCAUAGGGCAAAAAGGCCCGAGUUUCUUUUCAAGUCAAUUGGAAACCCUCCAAGCCAAGACCCGUCCCCAUACACCAACUUUACCAAGGUUUUCCUUCUCACUAACACAACAAAAGAUAAAGCCUCUGCUCUGCUCUUUUUGAGCUUAUUCUUGUCCAUUUUUCAAACUCGGCCUCGUUGUUUUGAUCCUCUUGGAUCCUGGGGAUUGAAAGUGCCACCUGAUUUCUGGAAGCCUGGGGGUGCACGGGUGGUCCUGUCCUCUUAGCAUGCUGUGGGGCAAGGGAAGGCAGUUGGGGUUUGAAGCCAGGCUAAUUCAGGGUGCCGCUGAACAACAGCCACCACAGAGAAAGCAGAGAGCCAUGCACACACACUCGCCAGGGGCCAGCAAAGGGUGCUGCCAUCUGCAGCUGCA
rnacentral:lncRNA from 10 species